GGCCCCUUAGCUCAGUGGUUAGAGCACUCGACUCAUAAUCGAUUGGUCCCCAGUUCGAGUCUGGGAGGGGCCACCA
rnacentral:tRNA from 1 species